GGGGUACUGCUGUGCAGGGUGGCGAGCUGCGUCGACCCCGGGUGAGCUUGGCUUACAAGCGAGUGGCCGCAGGUUCGAAACCUGCCGCGCCCACCA
rnacentral:tRNA from 1 species